ensembl:lncRNA
CCAGGACUGGAGCACUGUGGACACCCCUCCUCCAGAGCAAGUGUUCAGAAGCUUUGCAGGACCUGAGCAGGGACUUUGAACAGCUGUCCUGUGCUGUCACGUUCUGUUCCUGCCUGGAGACGGGAGGCUUAGUGUGAUUGGUAACUCUCAGAAGGUUGGCAGCUGCAGCUUCAGAUGGGCCUCUGUGGAAGUGAGACCAAGAAGGCAGUGACAAGGUUUCACUGUGGCCUCCAUCUGAGGCUCCUAGAUGUCCCCAUGAGCCCUGCACUGUGGGAUGACUGCAGAGAUAAAGACCAGCUGGAGAAGUUGGGGAGCAAUCCUGGAGUCAGACGGGAGACAUUUGCCUGGAAGUGAGAGAGAUCAGUCCUGAGCCAAUGUUGGGGGAUCCACCCUCACGGUUCAUCACCUUCAAGUACCAUUACACUCAGUCCAGAGAGAUGAUGAUACAAAAAAUUAUAUUGGGGUAUCAAAUAAGAGCCAAGAUACAUCAUGUACAGGUACAAGCACCCAAUGAUAAAUGUAAAUGUAUUGUGUACCUAAAAUGUACCAAUAAAAGAAUUUAAGCAAAAAAAAUGCUUGGAAUGCCACUGUGAUUUGGAGUAGUUUGAAGGUAAAGGAAAUUGGUAUCAACUAUAUGAGGUGUGAUCAAAAUAUAUGGUGAAUGUUUAAAUUAAGAAUAUUUAUUACAGUAAAAGACACAUUGCCAUGAACAAUCCUCAAAGUACUUCCCCUUUCUUCUAACAUACUUAUGUCAUUGUUCUUGCCAUUUUCUGAAGCAGUUCUGAAAGUCCUCUUUCAUGAAGGUCUUUACAAGGUGAGAUAAAAAAAUACAGGGAAUGCUGCUGCCAAGUGCCAUCCAACAGAAGGGCAAGCUCAUACAAACAUCAUGGUGUGUCCUCGUCCACCUUACUCACCACACCUUACUCACCAGACCAUGCCACUUCUGGCCUUCCUUAAUGCCAAAAUGAACAUGAGAGGUAAACGUUUUGGAUUGAUUCAGGACAUUGAGGCAGCCAUGACAGCACAACUAAAGACACAAAAGAGCACUUUCAGAACUGCUUCAGAAAGUAGCCAGAAAGAUGGGAUGUGUGUUUGAGGAAAGAGGAAGUAUUUUGAAGGGGG